GAUGUUGGGUUAAGUCCCGCAACGAGCGCAACCCUUAAGCUUAGUUGCCAUCAUUAAGUUGGGCACUCUAAGUUGACUGCCGGUGACAAACCGGAGGAAGGUGGGGAUGACGUCAAAUCAUCAUGCCCCUUAUGAUUUGGGCUACACACGUGCUACAAUGGACAAUACAAAGGGCAGCGAAACCGCGAGGUCAAGCAAAUCCCAUAAAGUUGUUCUCAGUUCGGAUUGUAGUCUGCAACUCGACUACAUGAAGCUGGAAUCGCUAGUAAUCGUAGAUCAGCAUGCUACGGUGAAUACGUUCCCGGGUCUUGUACACACCGCCCGUCACACCACGAGAGUUUGUAACACCCGAAGCCGGUGGAGUAACCUUUAGGAGCUAGCCGUCGAA
rnacentral:rRNA from 1 species